GCUCAUUAUGAACAACAAAAAAUACUUCUAUCACUCAGGAAAUUCCGGGGUAUUUUGAAAUACUAUGCCAGGAACUGGGAAUAAAGCAGAUAUAUUUUUUACUAUAUUGGAUUCCCUUAGCUGUGCUACAUCCUGCAAAAUAAGGCUGAAGGAAGGUCUUAAGAGGUCAAACAGUCCAUCCCUCCGCCUCCAGACAGUGAUGCCUUUGCCUUUCAUGGAAGCGAGUUGCAACCAUAUAGUCUCUGGGAAUAUGUAUCAUCCAGUUCAUUGUGUGGAUCCAAGAAGGAAAACAAGGAAAAGGACAAGAAGGAGAAGAAAAUGGACACAUUUUUCAGAAGGGAGUAAAGAGAGUUGUUUGAGAGAAGAAAUGUCCCUUCCAAGUGGACAGAAGAUACUGAUAUCCAGGAAGAAGCACUUGAUUCUUAGGCCCCUGGCGUUACCUGUGAUGCGAACAACAGGGAUGGCUGCUUUAUAUCAUAUCAGAUGAGAAGCAGCGUUUGGGUUGAGAACUCUAGCGGGUGUCUCCGCCGGCAGCAGCUAGGCCUGAGUCUCAUUAGUGUGCGGGACACAUGUGGCAUCUUGGCAUUUCCCCAAAUACUGUCAGGGGUUGGAGCACAUGACAGAACCAGCCCAGGGUGAUAGAGAAGUUGUGAUGGUAUUCUCCAAAUGCAUGGAUUCAGAACUGGGUGGAAGGUAUCUUCCCCACAGUGAAGGCUUGUUUAAAGAGGAUUCUCCUUCCCGCCUUCUGCUGGCAUUACAGCAUUGCAUAGGGAAGGAGAAUGCCUAGCAUUAGGAGUAAACCCUCUGGGGUUCGGAUCCUUGAUCUAACUACCAUGUUAGAUCAUCUAACUGAUUUGAGCAAGCGACUUACCUCCUCUGAGUCUGUUCCUUCAUCGGAAAUGUGCAGGUAAUAAUAGCACUUGAUUUGGUGGGUGUUGUUAAGGUUAAGUAAGAGAAAUAAAAAACAUGGCACUUGUUCAUCUAGAUUCUUGUUCUUGGUGGCAAAGGAUGCAGAUAUCGUCUUGUUCUCCAUGCUCCAUUAUCCAUGUCUUCUUAGUUAGGGUGGGGAGUUUAGGGUUAGGGUUAAGAAUAUGGUUCUAGCCUCAUCUUCUGUAAUAAGAGAAUCUCUGAGUUUGAAACUGGGCACAAAGACUACAUUUUCCAGUCUUCUUGGAGUUGGAUGUGGCCAUGUGGGCAAGUUAUGGGCAAUGACAGAAGGAAGGGGGGCAAAAUAAUUGAGGUCAUUCCUGUCUUCAUGCAUCCCCAAAUACCCAGAGCCAUGAGGUCCUGUCCACCACAGACAAAUACUGCUAUAAUCUGUUUACUGAUUUACAAGCCAUUCUAAACUAGGCUAUAUUUAUUCCAUUUUAAGGAGUAAAUGCUCUUGUAAUAUGUAUGUAUAAUAAUAAUACAAUCUUAUUAAAAAACAUAAUGCUACAUGUCAUCAAAUCCUUACAAGUUUAUAUUCUUCUGUUCUGUUAAAUAUGAGAUGAUGUAUUACCAGAAAGAAGAGCGAUUUGUAUCUAAAACUUCCAUCUUCCCUUUCUUCUUUCCUGUGGGCUGGAAGGUGAGCAUGAUGGCUGGAGGUGGAGCACCCAUUUUGAGCCAUGAGGAGGAAGCCUCAUGUUGAGGUGUCAGAGUAACAUGCUAGAAGGAGCCUGGGUUUCUGAAUUUCUUCCUUUCUUUCUUAUUAUUUUUUUUUUUUGAGACGGAGUUUCGCUCUUGUUACCCAGGCUGGAGUGCAAUGGCGCAAUCUCGGCUCACCACAACCUCCGCCUCCUGGGUUCAGGCAAUUCUCCUGCCUCAGCCUCCUGAGUAGCUGGGAUUACAGGCACGUGCCACCAUGCCCAGCUAAUUUUUUGUUUUUUUUAGUAGAGAAAGGGUUUCACCAUGUUGACCAGGAUGGUCUCGAUCUCUUAACUCCAGUUUUUUAUUUCAUUAGAGAGAAAUAGACUACUGUCUUGUUUAAGCUACCUCUCAAUUUUGCAUUUUCUCCAAGAGCAGAGUUUAUCCUGGCAUACUAGUUGUGUGGGCAUGAGUAAAUUUUCUAGAAUUCUCUGAGCCUCAGUCACCUUAUCAACAAAAUAGUCCUAACCCCUAACCCCUCAGAAGUGUUUUGAAGAUUCAAGGACAUGUGGUGUUUUAUGCUGCC
rnacentral:lncRNA from 1 species